GGAGUUUGGGCCGUGUCUCAGUCCCAAUGUGGCCGUACACCCUCUCAGGCCGGCUACUGAUCGUCGCUUUGGUGGGCCGUUACCCCGCCAACUGGCUAAUCAGACGCGGGUCCAUCUCGCACCACCGAAGCUUUAGUCCCCAGACCAUGCGGCCCGGAAACACCAUGGGAUAUUAGUGGAAGUUUCCCUCCGUUAUCCCCCUGUGCGGGGCAGGUUGCAUACGCGUUACGCACCCGUGCGCCGGUCGCCGCCAGGGUAUUGCUACCCCGCGCUGCCCCUCGACUUGCAUGUGUUAAGCCUGCCGCUAGCGUUCAUC
rnacentral:rRNA from 1 species